UUUGUCCUGUGUCUGUCAGCACCACAGGCACAGCACAGCUGCUUAGCUGUGUCUGUCACAUCAGGGCUGGGGGCAAGUGGCUAUUUCUGCACUCAGUGUUCAGAAGCCAGUAAGCACUGAAUAGUGUUUGGCUGAUAGCCUCACAUUU
ensembl:snoRNA LOC120095424 small nucleolar RNA SNORA43